GGAUAGUUUGCAUGCAUGUUGC
rnacentral:siRNA from 1 species